rnacentral:tRNA from 1 species
GGCUUGAUGGUCUAGUGGUAGGAUUCUCGCUUUGGGAUCAUGAGAUUACAUGGUACAAGCUUGCGAGAGGUCCCGGGUUCAAUCCCCGGUCAAGCCC